rnacentral:lncRNA from 1 species
CCUUUGUGAAAAUUAAUCCUCCAAAGAUAUGAAGUUUAGAAUAUGCAGUGAAAUGAUUGAUCAUUAUUGCCGGUUGCAGGUUCAACUUACAGACAAAGAAGGCUCAGCCGAUCGAAAAGUACCCGUGCAGCCUUUAGUUUUUUAUUCAAAGGAUGGGAAAGUCACCCGUUUAUAAUUUACGAAAGUUCGGAGAGCUCCCAUACCAUUUUGUGCGAUCUCGGCGUUUUCAAGAUUUGUACAAAAAUGUUCUUUUCAACUACCAGUGGUUGCACGCCAAACUGUCUUCAUGUCCUCUUCAAGCUGUUUUAAGUGAUUUGAAGACGCGUGCAUGAAUAUUGAGGAUAAAGAGGCAACUCGGUAAGAAAUUUUUUUUAACUUUUUUCCUUUUGAAAUGAAACCCAAGGGCUUUUGUUGGUCAUAGGCUCAACCAUAGUGACUGAUUGACGCGUUAAAAUAUUUUAGUUAAAGAAAAAGAAGCUUUACUAUCUAAAAAUUUGAAUAAAAUGAAAUUAACGUAUUAAAAUUUAAAAUAGAUAAAGUUCUAAGUUUUUGCAAAGACUAAUUUCUAAAAAUCCGACUAUUUAAUCAAUCGAAUCUCAAAAAGUCGUAGUCUAUCUCAAAAAUAUAAGUGUUACUAACAGCCGUGCUGUAAACGACCGUGUUAGUGAGUAAAAUGGUACCACGUCGACACCAACAUCGAGACUUUAACGCAAAGUAGAAAAAGCGCCGAGGCCCCCAGCUAAAAAAACAGUCAUAGCCCGUCUCGAAUAUGAAUUUUACGAACUUUAUGCAAAAUACGACCAUAUUGGUGAGCGGAACGUUGUAUCAUGUUGACGCCAACAUGGAAACUUUAACGGAGAGUAUAAAAAAAGUAACGCGUUGAUUGCUCUCCUUGCGUGUCAUUCUGUUGAGUCCGCCUUCAAUUAUUGUGAUGGCAAUACGCGCGGCGUGAGAGUACGAAUAGUUGCACGCCGCGCCGCGUCAUGAUGUUGCCACUUUCGUGAUCAGUCCGGGCAAGGACCAGUAGUCUCCCAAGAUGUUUAAAAAAUUACGUCGACCGCUCUUUUACAGAGCGGAACUUUCCUCAACAUGUUUAACUUUUUGCACAGCCUUUAUCCCCGUGUUUUGUACAUACACCGUUAUUGUUGAGGCAUUUUAAAAGACACCAGGUAGCGAAUAGCUUCAAAUUCCCUCAUAUUUUAUACCAAAAUUUUGGAGAUAUCGUUUCACUUUAUUUUGUAGCGAACUUUUCUAAAUGUGCCGUAUAGAUCGUAUUCGAUACAUCAAACGGGUGAGAUUGUAUCGAUAUCGAUUGGUUUAAAACAUAAACAUAACCUUAAAAGUCAAUUCAGAAAUCUGAGGGAACUGGUCUUUUGAAAUAGAUUUUUCAUUCUG